AGGACGAACGCUGGCGGCGUGCUUAAUACAUGCAAGUCGAGCGGUAAGGCUCCUUCGGGAGUACACGAGCGGCGAACGGGUGAGUAACACGUGAGCAAUCUGCCCUUCACAUCGGGAUAACCCCCGGAAACGGGAGCUAAUACCGGAUACGACCACUUCAGGCAUCUGAUGGUGGUGGAAAGUUCUGGCGGUGAAGGAUGAGCUCGCGGCCUAUCAGCUUGUUGGUGGGGUAAUGGCCCACCAAGGCUUCGACGGGUAGCCGGCCUGAGAGGGUGACCGGCCACACUGGGACUGAGACACGGCCCAGACUCCUACGGGAGGCAGCAGUGGGGAAUAUUGGACAAGUGGGCGAAAGCCUGAUCAGCAACGCCGCGUGAGGAUGACGGCCUUCGGGUUGUAAACCUCUUUCAGCGCAGACGAAGCGAAAGUGACGGUAUGCGCAGAAGAAGACGACCGACCAACUACCGUGCCGAGCACGCCGACCGGUAAUCGUAGGA
rnacentral:rRNA from 1 species